rnacentral:rRNA from 1 species
UACGUAGGGUGCAAGCGUUGUCCGGAAUUAUUGGGCGUAAAGGGCUCGUAGGCGGUCCAUCGCGUCGGGGAGUGAAAAGCUGGGGCUUAACCCCAGUCCUGCUUCCGAUACGGGUGGACUAGAGGUAGGCAGGGGAGAACGGAAUCCUGGUGUAGCGGUGAAAUGCGCAGAUAUCAGGAGGAACACCGGUGGCGAGGGCGGUUCUCUGGGCCUUACCUGACGCUGAGGAGCGAAAGCGUGGGGAGCAAACAGG